UUUUUUUAGAAAAUUGAUAGAUUGAAAUUAAUUAAUUUAUGUGGACACGACACCGAUGCGGAAGGGUGUUAAAAUAAAUUAUUUAUUAAAGGACAUAUGCAGCAUUAGAUGAAAAGAAUAAAGUCUUUUUGGAACAAGAGGGAUUUAAGAGCAUUAAAUGAUGUGGGACCUGUGUGUACUUAAAAGCAACAGAGAAAAAACACAACGUUGGCUGGGCGUGAGUUCAAGGGUUUAAAAUGAUGUGGGAUGCGUAGAGGAUUUUUGACGUGCGGCUGGGCUUUUUCAUGUGGUUGGCACACGGGAUUCAAAUAGACAGCAGUUCACGCGGAAGCCGGGAGCGCAUGGGGGCAUUUUGGCGGGCUUUAAAGCAAUGGAAGAAUGGACGCGUGCGGGUUCACAGCAAAUGGGUUUGUUUGCGCGCGGAUUAAAUGCGAGGCGGACCGGAACUCAAACGAAUGGAUAGUCACGCAGCAUGCGGAAAUGACUUCACACGGCGGAUGGGCUUGAGAUACAGGACAUGCUUGGGACGCGGGAAUAAAAGCAUAGUUAACACGGAUUGAAGCUCUAUUUAAAGAGAGGCGAUGAUGCACCAAAUAAUUUUUCAUCCCACCACCCGGCCACCACCAUUAUCCAUCUCUUCUCCCAUCAAUUCUCUCUACACACCUCCACCCUCUUCUCCACUUCCAUCCUCCUUCAAAGUUGCAGUCGGGCAUUGUUGCAAGCACCAGGAUUCCAGCAGUCAGCUCCAUCAUGCGCUGCUAAUUUCGUUCAACUCGGGAAAAAGAGGAAGCUUUUGUACUGAAUAGUUUGUUUUUAUUUCUCGAACUUUUGUAUUCCUGUUCUUAUUGCAAUAAAAGAAAUUAUUUUCUCAUAUAUUAUGAUUUUCUAUUUCCGUUAAGAAUCAUGCUUAGAACAUUCUAUUUCCUCUUGGGAUGAGCCGUGAUCUAUGGGUACGGAUCGUGCUCUCGAGAGAUAGACUGUCUCCAACGUGAGUUCCUUCCCAAGUAGGGGAUCAACCUCGACUAGCCUAUGCUCAAAAGGGUACCAGUCAUGCUCUUUCAAGAUAGUUUAUAUCUAGAUUGAUCUCAUAUCUUUUGUUUGCAUAAGAAUAUAUCUACUUAACAAAAGUGAAAUCAAAAUCCCGAGGCUUUCUUCUCCUACUUGAAUCUGCACUAUAUUAUUAAGUUUGAAAUUGUUAGUUUAAUCUUUUAGUUAAUUAGACCGCCACUAUUUUCUUAUAAUUUAUUUUAAUCUCACUUUUGAAACAACUGCUCGAGAUCCCUGUGGAUUGAUAUCUGGUCUCACCACAUCUACAUUAUUAGUCACACCAGUUUAAUUAUCUUUAAUCGCCUCAUGACAAAGUGUAUCAAAAAUGCAUGACACUAAUUAUGGAUAAAUGUUAAUGAUCAAACAUCCCGCAUGGCAAGCACAUUAGAGUUGGCAUUAUAUAGUAGAAUAGUUAGUUUGGUUUGUGCAUGACAUUAGUAUCUUAAAGAUCCUAUUGUCUUUUAAUCCAAAUUCUAAAGCUCAUUCUUUGACAAUUUUGCUUUAUUCAAAUAUAUUGGUCGUAAUCUUCUCCCUUGAUGGCUUUUAGAUUGCAGAAGAUGGGAACCAAGAUGUUUGUUAAAAAUUCUGAGUGCUUGUUGCCAUUGGUUCACUAGCAUCUUUUUUGAAGUUUAAUUUUAUGCUGCAAUUGUUCAGUAUUUAUUUGAAUUUUGGCAUCUAAAUGUCUACAAAACCAUGUACUAAUUUGCUUGAAGGUAUCCAUUUUCCUAGAAUGCUCGAGUGUCUACAUCAAGGUUUAACAUCUUGGUACCGGACCCCAUACCGAUACCAUCCUCAUAUGGACCGGUACAACAAGCUCAUUCAACAGACAUGGAGGGGCUGCUUGGAUGCCUGCAAGGAGUGAGUAUGUGCAGGUUGGUUCUUACAUGGCUACUAGCGAGAGCUUGUUUAAAAGUGAAAGAGAAGAAUUCUUCUGAUUGGGGAACUUCAAAUCAUACAAUCCACAAUAGUUGGGAUGCUGGAAAUUACCCUUUAUAAUAGUUGAGAUCCUCUAGUUUCUUCUCUCUCAUCAACACCACUUCCAUCAAUUUUGGCCACACAUGCAGUUUAGGGACGGACAUUUUAUGCCAGCAUCUAAACAUGCCUGCAAUGAACAGUUUUAUCUGCUAUUAACUGUGUUACUGCUUCACAGUUAAUUCUGAAUUUUUUACAUUCUGUUCCUAAGGUGUAAGAUUGUCAUCUACUUGUGGAAAUAUUAGUUCCUUCAAAUAUUUGUGCACCCAUGAAAUCUGUAUGUCUUUGAGGAGGUCAAGAAAAAUGCAAAUGGUUGCCACAUUGAGGGGUUUAUCUGCUAAUAACAUUGCAAGUUUUCUCCAACUGUUUUCCUUGAUUAUUUUAAAUUAGAUGUUAGAUGACAUGUAAAGUUGGUUGCAAUUUAUUUGGCUGUCCAAAGUGUUGCAAAAGUUUCAAUGAAAUCGAAGAUUGUGGAAGUUGGAGGCAACAGUGAAGGUUAUAAUAAAAGCUGCAUAAAGCCAAUGUCGACCACCACUUUUGUCCCAAAUUUCCCAUUGAUCUUUGUUGUGCUUAUGAUUCUAAAUGAUCAUGUGCAGGAGCUUCAGUGCAUCCAGCUAGAUUUAGUCCUGAUGAUAUUAGCUUCUCGAUUUUCCUUGUCGACGCAGCAACUCAGCAAGUUCAGACAUGCAAAUUAAUUCUAAUAACAUAAGCUGAAAAGCAGCCCUUGGCAAAGAGAGGCUCUGUUAUGCGGUGAACCAACAAAUAUGAUGGUCCGGUGACAUUUAGGUCAGACUUCAAUGGCUCGGAAUCAACAUGACCUGUGCCAUGAGCUCAGCCAAAAUGGCAGCGUAUAUUUGUAUCCGCCUUCAACUGAUAUUGUCACCUACUUGUUUCAACUUGGCUUGUCAUAGCAUUGCGAACUUUCAAGGAUCGCAUUUGAUUGUUUCCGUCUCUGCAGCUUCUUGGCCUAUGGAUUUUUCUCCAGUACAGAAACUUUUAAAUUUUGUUUUAGUUUGCAACGGGACAUACGUCUAGGUGACAAGUGACAUCAAAUAAGGCUUAGCAUGAUGGUUCCUCUGGACGGUGACCCGCACUCUUUUUCUUGUAGGGACGCAAUAUGUGGGGAGCAUGAAUUCCAUUCGUCACCUCAAAGGUUCACGUCAGAGCUCGAGCACGAGAGGAUUUCGCACCUACUAUUGGCAUAGCGUCCAUCUUUGAAAAGUUUAUUCCAUGUUUUAACAAAAUUUAUGGCAUGUCCUACUCUUGGGUUUGACCAGUUAGGCAGCCGUGUAGAAGACCGGCGUAGCCCUACGUUGUCGUAUCCACCAUAUUUUGGCUGAAAAGGGCGACCUGACCUCUUGAUUUGAAGACCAUGUACAUGGAGCCAAGUGAUAUUUCCUGGACCGUAAAGUCUGGUACAGGGAUCAGCAUAUCGUUGGAAUCUUUUAACGGACGGUGGGAUAUAUUGAGGGCAAUUCUGU